rnacentral:misc_RNA from 1 species
AAGUCGUAACAAGGUUUCCGUAGGUGAACCUGCGGAGGGAUCAUUAACGUAUCCAAACGUUGAAACCCCCCCCCGUGAACCUUCAUCCUGCUUUGUAACCCGCGUAGUUCGCAAUCUCUGAUAAAUCAUAGCCCGAAAAGCUGUAGUGAUUCAGAGACCUCUGGCUACGUGCGAACAUUGGAACAGCGGUUUUUUUACCCAAUGUAUUACAUUGAGCUUCACAUUAAACUGUGGGGUUAUUAGGGGGCAUGGGGACCCUGCCCGAGUGUACGGUCUACAGGAAUCGUAGAAGCGCUAUCCUUGCACAAUCAAUGACACUUUCCGACACUGACUGCUUGGGGAAACAUUGCCUCUAGAAUACCGCUCGAUUGUAAAACCACUGUUAACAAUGGAUAUCUUGGUUCUC